UUCCCUCCCUUCACUUCCCCUCAACCACUACCACCAACCUCCUCCUCUUCCCUCCCUUCACUUCCCCUCCUCCCUCAAGCCCAUCAACCUCUGCAUCCACUGCCCCUAUCUCCCCUCGCCGCCACGUCACCCACCACCGUCGACCUUGAAGUAGAUGAAUAGCCCACCAAUGAUUUCGACAUUGACUCCCUGUAGUUCGCCCAUCAACCUGAAGCACUUGUCAUUGCCGCCAGUGGACGGAGCUUGAGGAGCACUCGGAGUAAUGGCGGAGGUCGAAGACCGCCUGGCUUUGUAAGGAGCUGCUUUCGCAUAAGCCGACGACGAUGGUGAGGAUCCUUGGCGCUCAAAGGAAGUGGGUUCGGCAGAAGGAGGUGGGUUAUGUUGUUCUCCAUUGCAAGUCAGCCUGUCCGUGAUCGCUUCAAAAAUAACGCUGAUGCCAAAAAGCUAUUGGAAAAAGUGAAGGAGCGUAGAUUGUAACAUUUUUAUGGUGGGAUACAUAUAUUCCAUCAUCAAUGGCACACCUAACGUAACGCACAGCUACCCCUCAAUCAGAAACCAUUCGUCAAUGCACACUAACUUUCCAAUCAAAUACAUGAGAGAAUCCCCCACUAUUGGCAUUCGAUCAGAUCUUCGCAUUGCUGUCACAUUGCAACCCAAACGGCAAAUCAACUACAGCCUGCAAUAUGAUGUACCAAGUAGUAUCCAAUGUAUCGUGUUGUAUGAAAUUUUCUAUAUUAUGUAUAUAUAGAUGAUUUGUGUGCAU